rnacentral:rRNA from 1 species
GUCUACGGCCACGCCACCCUGAACAAGCCCGAUCCCGUCUGAUCUCGGAAGCUAAGCGGGGUCGGGCCUGGUAAGUAUUUGGAUGAGUCUGUUCUCGGAAGCUAAGCAGGGUCGGGCCUGGUAAGUAUUUGGAUGUAAGACCAGCUAGGAAGACCAGGUGCUGUAGGCG